rnacentral:lncRNA from 1 species
UAAUAUUGUUCAAUUAGACAAAAGAGAAACAUAUAUUUGACAGUACAGCAGAUUUAGAGAUUUUGAAUGCUAGUAAGAUUGUUGCAAAUAUUGAAAUUUAAUCUUCAAUGUUACUAUAAUACAUAACUACCUACCAUUAGGGGUGAGAAUCAAUCCCCUCUCCUUCCGCUGCUGGAUAGAAUGCCCUGCCUUCAAAUGUUCAUAUAUGGCGUCCAUGUCAUUACUCACCAACUGUGCUCUUUUCUUACAAGGAUGAAAAGUAUGAUAAUUUUUGGACGCCUCAUCAUCAUCAUACUGCACAAUGGAUCUUAAUUUUUGUACACUUCUGGUGCAACCCUAGGAUCAUAUCCACCCGAAGCGACCAACAUUAGCGCAAUGUAAUGUAAUCUGCCUCAAUUUCUUGCCUUAGUUGGUAUCGAGUUCUUGCAGAAAGAGUGCUAUUUUGUUUACAACAUCUGUCAUGGGAACUAAAAAUGAAAAGAUCUUAGAUGAGAACCAACUAAUUUACUGAGUUGCCAAACCCCAAAACUACAGAAACCAAGAAAGAAGUCCAUAAUUUGAAACUGCAUAAGCCAAAACUACAGAACCCCAACCUUCAGAAGAUGCAGUUUUCAGACAAAUACUAGCAGUUUCAAUAGCCAAAGCUCCAACUAUCUUGGGAUUUUCAUUGUAAAGUCUUUCAGCUUUAUGCCUCAAAGCAAAAAUCUUUGCAGGAAAUGCAGAUGAAGAAGUUGGAAUAAUAGUUGUCAGCUUGUUACCUGCAAUAGGAGGAGGUUUUGAAAAAGAAGACGAAGAUUGUAUUGAACAAGUCUGCUGGUUCUGGUUGUUGGGUUUGGAACAUUAUUAUACCAACACAUAAUGCCAUUGUUGCAAGCUUUGAUGUUCUUCUUCUGUACUAAAAACUCAUAUUCAUCAUAUUCAUUGAUGAUGAUCUGAAGAAGA